GGAAGUAAAAGUGUAACAAGGUCUCCGUAGGUGAACCUGCGGAGGGAUCAUUACAGAGUUCAUGCCCUACCGGGUAGAUCUCCCACCCUAUGUUAUUAUUACUUUGUUGCUUUGGCGGGCCAUUAGGCUCCGGCCCGACUACCGGCCCCGGCUGGUAAGCGCCCGCCAGAGGACCCAAAACCCUGAAUAUUAGUGUCGUCUGAGUACUAUAUAAUAGUUAAAACUUUCAACAACGGAUCUCUUGGUUCUG
rnacentral:misc_RNA from 1 species